AACGAACGCUGGCGGCAGGCUUAACACAUGCAAGUCGAGCGCCCCGCAAGGGGAGCGGCAGACGGGUGAGUAACGCGUGGGAAUCUACCGUGCCCUAAGGAAUAGCUCCGGGAAACUGGAAUUAAUACCUUAUACGCCCUUCGGGGGAAAGAUUUAUCGGGGUAUGAUGAGCCCGCGUUGGAUUAGCUAGUUGGUGGGGUAAAGGCCUACCAAGGCGACGAUCCAUAGCUGGUCUGAGAGGGUGAUCAGCCACAUUGGGACUGAGACACGGCCCAAACUCCUACGGGAGGCAGCAGUGGGGAAUAUUGGACAAUGGGCGCAAGCCUGAUCCAGCCAUGCCGCGUGAGUGAUGAAGGCCCUAGGGUUGUAAAGCUCUUUCACCGGUGAAGAUAAUGACGGUAACCGGAGAAGAAGCCCCGGCUAACUUCGUGCCAGCAGCCGCCGUAAAAC
rnacentral:rRNA from 1 species